rnacentral:snRNA from 1 species
GUGCUGACUCUGACAGCACACGUACUGAAACUGGGAUACUGCAGAGAAGGCUAGUAUGGUCCUGGUAGGGAUAACACAUAACUUUAUGAAGUUUUCCAUAGUUUU